rnacentral:lncRNA from 1 species
CUCAGCAAGGGCAACUACUGAGUCCCACACUUCCAGGACUUCUUACCAGGAAAGAUGAGCCCUCCUGGCUGAGAAAACCUGUUUCAGCUAACAGCACUAACUCAGUGCUUUGGGGAUGCAUUGAUCAUAGAUCAAAAAGGGAAUAACCUGCAACCAAGGCACAGCUCACACUCUGGGAUGUAUGAGGAAGGAAACCCUAAGAAUAACCAAUAAAAUAGCAGUUCUAUAAGUUCACUAUACACAUGAGAGGCCUUCACAGUUACAGGAACCCUGGUCUGCGUAGCUGCUUAGACAGCCAUCCAUGUGCGUAAGGGGCCCCAAGGUCCACAUGCAUUGCCAGCAGGGUACAGACUCAGGACCUCUUGGACAUCUUUUCCCUCCAAUGGCAGGCAUGUGAAUUACCACAAAUACGUCCCUUGGGUUCAUCCCAAUUGAGCUACCUGACGCUCCACGCUGACAGCUUCGUCUCUUAGAAAGAAAAGGAUGUAAGAAUGGAGCUGCUACUCUGGACUUAAUUCUGACCAACAAGGAAGAACAAAUUGGUAAAGUAGAAGUGACGGGAACCUUGGGAGAAAGGGACCGUGUCAUGUUGGAGGUUAUUAUUGUGAAUGAAAGAAGCAUUAGAUAUAG